GACGAACGCUGGCGGCGUGCUUAACACAUGCAAGUCGAACGGAAAGGCCCUGCUUUUGUGGGGUGCUCGAGUGGCGAACGGGUGAGUAACACGUGAGUAACCUGCCCUUGACUUUGGGAUAACUUCAGGAAACUGGGGCUAAUACCGGAUAGGAGCUCCUGCUGCAUGGUGGGGGUUGGAAAGUUUCGGCGGUUGGGGAUGGACUCGCGGCUUAUCAGCUUGUUGGUGGGGUAGUGGCUUACCAAGGCUUUGACGGGUAGCCGGCCUGAGAGGGUGACCGGCCACAUUGGGAUCGAGUUCCGGCACAGCCUCCUACGGGGGGCAGCAGUGGGGAAUAUUGCACAAUGGGCGGAAGCCUGAUGCAGCACCCCCGCGGGCGGGAUGACGCCCUUCGGGUUGUAAACCGCUUUCGCCUGUGACGAAGCGUGAGUGACGGUAAUGGGUAAAGAAGCACCGGCUAACUACGU
rnacentral:rRNA from 1 species